rnacentral:rRNA from 1 species
CCUACAGGAGGCUGCAGUGGGGAAUAUUGGACAAUGGGGGGAACCCUGAUCCAGCCAUGCCGCGUGUGUGAAGAAGGCCCUCGGGUUGUAAAGCACUUUCAGUGAGGAAGAACGCCUGGUGGUUAAUACCCAUCAGGAAAGACAUCACUCACAGAAGAAGCACCGGCUAACUCCGUGCCAGCAGCCGCGGUAAUACGGAGGGUGCGAGCGUUAAUCGGAAUUACUGGGCGUAAAGCGCGCGUAGGUGGCUUGAUAAGCCGGUUGUGAAAGCCCCGGGCUCAACCUGGGAACGGCAUCCGGAACUGUCAAGCUAGAGUGCAGGAGAGGAAGGUAGAAUUCCCGGUGUAGCGGUGAAAUGCGUAGAGAUCGGGAGGAAUACCAGUGGCGAAGGCGGCCUUCUGGACUGACACUGACACUGAGGUGCGAAAGCGUGGGUAGCAAACAGGAUUAGAUACCCGGGUAGUC